rnacentral:rRNA from 1 species
GACGAGGGGUCCAAGCGUUGUUCGGAAUCAUUGGGCGUAAAGCGGGUGUAGGCGGCUCUAUAAGUCAGAAGUGAAAGCCCCGGGCUUAACCUGGGAAGUGCUUUUGAUACUGCAGAGCUUGAAUGUGGGAGAGGGUAGUGGAAUUCCAGGUGUAGUGGUGAAAUACGUAGAUAUCUGGAGGAACACCGGUGGCGAAGGCGGCUACCUGGCCCAACAUUGACGCUGAGACCCGAAAGCAUGGGGAUCAAACAGGG